UCAAACGAGAGUUUGAUCCCGGCUCAGAAUCAACGCUGGCGGCGCGCUUAACACAUGCAAGUCGCACGAGAAAGCCGGAGCAAUCUGGUGAGUAAAGUGGCGUACGGGUGAGUAACACGUGGAUCAUCUACCUCUUGGUGGGGAAUAACCCUGGGAAACCGGGGCUAAUACCGCAUAAGCCUGCGAAGGGAAAGCAGCAAUGCGCCGAGAGAGGAGUCCGCGGCCGAUUAGCUUGUUGGUAGGGUAAUGGCCUACCAAGGCAAUGAUCGGUAGCCGGCCUGAGAGGGCACACGGCCACACUGGCACUGAAACACGGGCCAGACUCCUACGGGAGGCAGCAGUGGGGAAUCUUGCACAAUGGAGGAAACUCUGAUGCAGCGACGCCGCGUGAGCGAUGAAGCCCUUCGGGGUGUAAAGCUC
rnacentral:rRNA from 1 species